rnacentral:rRNA from 1 species
UACGUAGGGUGCGAGCGUUGUCCGGAAUUACUGGGCGUAAAGAGCUCGUAGGCGGUCUGUCGCGUCUGCUGUGAAAACCUAGGGCUUAACUCUGGGCGUGCAGUGGGUACGGGCAGACUAGAGUGCGGUAGGGGAGACUGGAAUUCCUGGUGUAGCGGUGAAAUGCGCAGAUAUCAGGAGGAACACCGGUGGCGAAGGCGGGUCUCUGGGCCGUAACUGACGCUGAGGAGCGAAAGCAUGGGGGAGCGAACAGG